rnacentral:rRNA from 1 species
AACGUAGGUGGCGAGCGUUAUCCGGAUUCAUUGGGCGUAAAGCGCUUGUAGGUGGCCGGCUAAGUUGGACGUGAAACCCCCGGGCUCAACUCGGGGCGGCCGUUCAAUACUGGCGGGCUGGAGGGCGUCAGAGGGCAGUGGAAUUCCUGGUGUAGCAGUGAAAUGCAUAGAUAUCUGGAGGAACACCGGUGGCGAAGGCGGCAUCCUGGACCAACACUGACACUGAGGAGCGAAAGCCAGGGGAGCAAACGGG